ACUACUUCUUAGAGGCCUUGCAGGUAUGGCUGCCAUGUCACAUGUAUGUCAGUAGUGGGCAGAGAGGAGAGAGGGCAUGUCUAUGCUCAGUGUUCUGACCUGUGAACAUCUGGGUGAUUCGUAGCCUAACACU